rnacentral:lncRNA from 1 species
AGGAAGACCCUGGCCUCCAUCUUGAAAACGGAAAAUAAAAACAGCAGACCUAUGAAGGUCGAAGGGGAAGAAAAGCUGUAUCGAUUGUUGAGAUCUGGCGACUUGUUUAAAUUUCAUCAGCCUCACUUCUAUGAACUCUCAGGACAAACUGCAACAGAGUCACAUCGAGUUGAGACUUCUCCAAGGGCCAUGGGGUUGACAUCUGUAUUCUCAGAGCUGAUUACCAACUCCUACCACUGUUAACCCUCAUCCAGGAACAAGCUUAUGUCUUUAACAUUCUGAGUGGGCUUCAGCAUCCUUGCAUAUGUUCAAUUCUUAAAAACCUGUUGAAAUAAAAGAUCAGGAGACAUAGGAAGGAUGCCAGAAGAGAGCGUGGCCUCACGUGUACCAGCUCUCUGCUCUCCUUUGCCUUGGGACGUUCCAUCCCUGGAAGUUUCCCUGCCCACAUCUUUGUAGAGAGUCCAUUCUCCAAGCUUCAGUGUGUCAUCUGUGAGGACCGUGACCCACCUGGUACAUCGCCUCAGGGCAUUCAUUUCAGGCUCCUUCUAAAUGGCCAAGGAUCAGAGGGAAACAGACCAUUUUCUAUUGUGACAAAGAGAGAACCCAGGAAAGGGGCAGUGUUUUUCCCCUCACAGGUGAUGGAGUUUUUAUAAAGAAUGCAGCGGAUAAUGGCAGGCUUGUCCUCUGAACAGAUGGUGAUGGUCUUGUUGCUAGGAUGAGGCCUCAAGAAUUUAGUUUUUAAUUCCACAUUAUUUGCCUCAGUGCCAUGAAUAUCCCUAGGUUUCCUGAGGCAAAAAUACAGAAAAAAAAUCCACAGAAAGAGUGACACACAGAGAGAGAAAGAGCAAGAGAUGGGGCAACUGAGCAGAGACUGGAGCCCGGUCAAGAGAGGCUUUGGGGAAAAUGCCUGCUCAGCUGUCUGCAAUCACCUGGGUUUAAAGCAGGCAGGAAGGAAGAUUGGUUUGGCAGGAGAACUGGCCCUUUGAUGCCUUCGAUACCACAGAGAAAAAUUCCCAUUUCUUCCCAUUAGAAGUCUGUUUACUUUCCUAAUUAAGAUAAACAUGUUUCUGAAGGAGUUAGCUCUUAUAGCAUGACAUUUAUAAAAUCAACUAUAUAUACACACAAGAAUGUUUGCCAGGAAUUUGGGCUGAUGGUGAUUGUAUGAAGCAUUUUAUAGAAAUAUUUUUAAAUAGUUGCCUUAUUUAAAAAUGAGCGACUUUCAUUCCCUCCAGUCAAUUAAAUAUCUAAUUUCAACUCUCGGAGAUAAUAACUGAAGUAGUUUUUUUAAUAAAUGAAUGAACAGUUAGAAAACUGUUAAACACAUAGCCCUGAAGCAUGAAAAAUAUAUUCGUUGAACAGCUUUAUUCUUUUAUUGUUAAUUUACUUCAGAGAAUAUCCACUCGUGUAAUUUUCAAUAAAGUACUCUUAUUUUGAAGUC